UGAAACAUCUAAGUACCCCGAGGAAAAGAAAUCAACCGAGAUUCCGAAAGUAGCGGCGAGCGAAAUUGGACUAGCCCUUAAGCUUUACACGCGUUAGACGAACGGUCUGGAAAGUCCGACGAUACAGGGUGAUAGUCCCGUAGUUGACGACGUGUGUUCAGUGAAAUCGAGUAGGGCGGGACACGUGAUAUCCUGUCUGAAUAUGGGGGGACCAUCCUCCAAGGCUAAAUACUACUGACUGACCGAUAGUGAACCAGUACCGUGAGGGAAAGGCGAAAAGAACCCCUGUGAGGGGAGUGAAAUAGAACCUGAAACCGUGUACGUACAAGCAGUAGGAGCAGGCUUUGUCCUGUGACUGCGUACCUUUUGUAUAAUGGGUCAGCGACUUAUAUUCAGUGGCAAGGUUAACCAUCUAGGGGAGCCGUAGGGAAACCGAGUCUUAACUGGGCGUUCAGUCUCUGGAUAUAGACCCGAAACCAGGUGAUCUAGCCAUGGGCAGGUUGAAGGUUGAGUAACAUCAACUGGAGGACCGAACCGACUAAUGUUGAAAAAUUAGCGGAUGACUUGUGGCUAGGGGUGAAAGGCCAAUCAAACCUGGAGAUAGCUGGUUCUCCCCGAAAGCUAUUUAGGUAGCGCCUCGGACGAAUACUACUGGGGGUAGAGCACUGUUAAGGCUAGGGGGUCAUCCCGACUUACCAACCCUUUGCAAACUCCGAAUACCAGUAAGUACUAUCCGGGAGACACACGGCGGGUGCUAACGUCCGUCGUGGAGAGGGAAACAACCCAGACCGCCAGCUAAGGUCCCAAAUUACUACUAAGUGGGAAACGAUGUGGGAAGGCUCAGACAGCCAGGAUGUUGGCUUAGAAGCAGCCAUCAUUUAAAGAAAGCGUAAUAGCUCACUGGUCGAGUCGGCCUGCGCGGAAGAUGUAACGGGGCUAAGUA
rnacentral:rRNA from 1 species